rnacentral:rRNA from 1 species
CGGAUUGCAGGCUGCAACCCGCCUGUAUGAAGUUGGAAUCGCUAGUAAUCGCGGAUCAGCAUGCCGCGGUGAAUACGUUCCCGGGCCUUGUACACACCGCCCGUCACACCAUGAGAGUCGGGAACACCCGAAGUCCGUAGCCUAACCGCAAGGAGGGCGCGGCCGAAGGUGGGUUCGAUAAUUGGGGUGAAGUCGUAACAAGGUAAC